UCCAAUACGUACCCGUUUCCUAAUAUUUUAAAAAAUCUCGCUUCUGCGCUUCUUUACGCUUCCGCUUCCACGUACCCGCUUCCGUUUCCAUGUAACAUAGUUUUCAGCUUUCUUCUUUGGCAUUCACCUUUCAAUAUCCAGGAUAUUACGAAACGUAAGUUGAUAAGAAGAUGCAUAAUGUACGGAAUAAAAUAAAACAUAAUUCACAAAGAGUCAUGAUUUGGUGAUUCUUUAAUAUUUUAAUCUCUGACUAAUCAAACCCAUACAUUAACCAUAAAUAUAUGUUCCUGUUUUUGUAAAGAAUAUUAGUUAAAGAUUAAAAAAUAAGGUCACGAGACUCACAUAGUCACAAGCUCACAACCUUUGACAUCAGCCUCCCACCACAUGUACACCCAUAUUUAUAUGUAUAUUCUCCUCCAUUUUCAUCAUCUCUAAUAUCUCCAAGUCACACUUCCAAGAGAAGUCAGAUUCUGGUGAGGAUGAGAUUUGGGAAGAUUGUAGAAGGCUUGAAGUCCAAGAUAAAGGCAAGUCUAAGGAUGAGGAAGAGAUCCUCAUUAUCAUCAUCAUCAUCGUCAUCAUCAUCAUCGUAUGAGAAGAUAGAGAAGACUGACAGUAUGAGAUUUGAGUUAAGAAGCAGAAAGGCACACAAAAUUAUCCAACAAACUCUUCGGAUUGCCGAUUCUCCAACCUCAAGAACUUAUGCUUUAUGAUUUCAUCGUUUUACCAUCCAAAACAUAUUCAUACAUACAUAUAGACUUGCGUGUACGUCUGUUUAUACAUAUGAUCCAUCUAAAUUAUUGUACGUGUGUGUAUGUAUGUGUGAAAGGUUAUAUGGAUGAUGUCAUGGGUGAUGGAUAUUAUCUUGGCUAAUGGAUGAUGAUUAGAUGAA